GCCCUAGGGACCCUUCAGUACCACCAUAGGUGUCUAUACCCAAAGACAUAAUCAAACCCGACCUUUGGCAAAUACUACCAUAGAGAUCUCGAUACAAAUAGUGAUUUUUUUUUUUUUUUAAGCUACACCAUCUCCAUAACUUAAGCGACAAGAUUAGAUACUUGCUGCAAAAUUUUAAUAACUGGCAUAGCUGCCGCUGAAUAUCUUAAUAGUGUAUAUAAGGAAGAUGUGAAGAAACUAGAAAGAAAACCCUAUUGGAGUUUAGUCCUUCAUGUAGUGUAGGCUGCAACAGUGGUAUAGAUGAAGAUGUGUGGACCUGAUGUUUUAUUUACUGAUAGAAUUUUUUGUAUUUGUGAAGAGGCAUGUUGGGUGUUAGCAUUUGUAUUUUAUAGUGGGAAAGAAAAAUGUGUUUAUCUGUCCCUUGUUCUUAGUCAUCUACUUGAAUUUUGUUAGCUCCUGGAUUCCUAAACAGAGAUGGUAGUAUUUACAUAGAGACAUAAGUGAUUCCCCAAAGCAGGUUUUACCAUACUAAAUUGUCAAGUAAUUGCCACUUAAGUCAUUAAUUAGCUCAUUCCAAAGAAUGGCAAUUAUGGGAAUUGGAUCAGCCUCCAAGAGUUCUAACCCAAGGGCUUAGACGUCUAUGGCAAAGAAAGUGUGAAGAACUUAAGAAUUACUUUGUGUGUGUUAGUUGCUCAGUCAUGUCUGACUGAAAUGGCAACCCACUCCAGUGUUCUUGCCUGGAGAGUCCCAGGGAUGGGGGAGCCUGGUGGGCUUCCGUCUAUGGGGUCGCACAGAGUUGGACACGACUGAAGCAACUUAGCAGGAUUACAAAUCUGGGGUAACAGGAUAUAACACUUCGAUGGCACCAUUUUAUUGUACAGGUUUUUUUGAUGUAAACCUUUAAAAAAUUUUUGUUUACUGUGUUUUAUUUUCUAUUCUUGCCUGGAGAAUCCCCAUGGACAGAGGAGCCUGACAGGGUAUAGUCCGUGGGGGUCACAAAGAGUCGGACAUGACUGAGCGACUUAACACACACCACGCAGAAAGCAAAAUUUAUGCUGUUAAAGAAAAUUGUAAGCACUUGAAAUUGUACUAUGUAAUUGAGUCCCGUCAUAAUUUAAGUACAAAGUAUUUUCAUUGUAGGAUUAAUAGUUAGAAUAUGGUAUAUAUUUAAGACCUUUUAUAGUUUAGUUUCAGAGUUGAAAUCUUUCUAAAGCUUCUGAAAAGUAAAGGUAUAACUCAUUUAUGUGGCUGUCUUAUGGACAUUAUAGAAGGGACUUUUAUAUAAGUCAUACGAAGCAAAAUGUAUUGAAAAGAGUAUUCCUUAACAAAAGUUUUCAUGAUCUGUAGACAUGAUGUAAAAAGGUUUCAGAAUAAACUAUAGGAUUUCAUAGGAA
rnacentral:lncRNA from 1 species